rnacentral:rRNA from 1 species
UCCAUGCCGUAAACGUUGUAUACUAGAUGUGGGGGGAUUAAGCCCCCUCCGUGUCCAAGCUAACGCGAUAAGUAUACCGCCUGGGGACUACGGCCGCAAGGCUAAAACUCAAAGGAAUUGACGGGGACCCGCACAAGCGGUGGAGCAUGUGGCUUAAUUCGAGGCAACGCGAAGAACCUUACCUGGGUUUGACAUGUUUAGGACCGCCCCAGAGAUGGGGCUUCCCUUCGGGG